rnacentral:rRNA from 1 species
GACGAACGCUGGCGGCGUGCCUAAUACAUGCAAGUUGAGCGCUGAAGGUUGGUACUUGUCCCGACUGGAUGAGCAGCGAACGGGUGAGUAACGCGUGGGGAAUCUGCCUUUGAGCGGGGGACAACAUUUGGAAACGAAUGCUAACACCGCAUAAAAACUUUAAACACAAGUUUUAAGUUUGAAAGAUGCAAUUGCAUCACUCAAAGAUGAUCCCGCGUUGUAUUAGCUAGUUGGUGAGGUAAAGGCUCACCAAGGCGAUGAUACAUAGCCGACCUGAGAGGGUGAUCGGCCACAUUGAGACUGAGACACGGCCCAAACUCCUACGGGAGGCAGCAGUAGGGAAUCUUCGGCAAUGGACGAAAGUCUGACCGAGCAACGCCGCGUGAGUGAAGAAGGUUUUCGGAUCGUAAAACUCUGUUGGUAGAGAAGAACGUUGGUGAGAGUGGAAAGCUCAUCAAGUGACGGUAACUACCCAGAAAGGGACGGCUAACUACGUG